UAGUCUAGUGGUUAAGGCUAUGGAUCGCCAAUCCGGAGGCGGCGGGUUCGAUUCCCGU
rfam:Aedes albopictus isolate Foshan contig120313, whole genome shotgun sequence.